CUGAGACAAGAAGAAGCCAGGCCUUGAGGUGGAGAAUCACCAGGUUGGGAUGUAUGGUACAUCCUCUGUUCUGCGAAAGGAGGUACGUAGUGACUGGAAGAGAGAUCAGCAGGCACGUCGCAAACUGUUACAGAAGGACCUUCAAUAGUGUGGGGAAAGGAGAAAAAGGCAUGAAAAAAGUCCGUGUCCCAGGGGAGGAGGAGAGCGUCAUCUAGGGAAUGUUGUCCUAUCCCCGCUGUGGAACAAUAGCAUGAACAUUUCUUGUUCAGUGAAGGGAAAGGCUCAAGAAUCCUUCAAGGUGUGAAGAGAAGCAUCGAGCUUAGUGUCCUCAAAGAGAAGAGUUUCAACAGUUGACUGUACCUCCUUUGAGAAGCCCAACAGAGCCAAGAAGCACACCGCAUCACCGCCACUGCGG